AUGAACGCUAGCUACAGGCUUAACACAUGCAAGUCGAGGGGCAGCAUUGAGAUAGCUUGCUAUUCAGAUGGCGACCGGCGCACGGGUGAGUAACGCGUAUCCAACCUGGCCCGCAGUAGGGAACAGCCCGGCGAAAGUCGGAUUAAUGCCCUAUGUCUUCCUUUGCAGGCAUCCAAUGAGGAAGAAAGAUUUAUCGCUGCGGGAUGGGGAUGCGUCUGAUUAGCUUGUCGGCGGGGUAACGGCCCACCGAGGCGACGAUCAGUAGGGGUUCUGAGAGGAAGGUCCCCCACACUGGUACUGAGACACGGACCAGACUCCUACGGGAGGCAGCAGUGAGGAAUAUUGGUCAAUGGGCGAGAGCCUGAACCAGCCAAGUAGCGUGCAGGAACCGACUGCCCUAUGGGUUGUAAACUGCUUUUAUGCGGGGAUAAACUUCAGCACGUGUGCUGUUUUGCAGGUACCGCAUGAAUAAGGACCGGCUAAUUCCGUGCCAGCCGCCGC
rnacentral:rRNA from 1 species